rnacentral:rRNA from 1 species
ACUCAAAUGAAUAGACGGGAACCCGCACAAGCAGUGGAUCAUGCGGCUUAAUUCGAUAGCGAGCGAGGAACCUCACCUAGGCUUGACAUGCAAUUGCUAAUCCUAUGAAAGUAGGACUCCUUCGAGGGUAUUGCACAGAUGAUGCACGGUCGUCGUCAGCUCGUGUCGUGAGAUGUUCGGUUAAGUCCGGUAACGAGCGCAACUCCAAUCCUUAGUUAUUUAAUGUCUAAGGAGACUGCCCGAGUUUAAUCGGGAGGAAGGCUGGAAUGACGUCAGAUCAGCGUGUCUCUUACGCCUAGGGCUGCACGCAUGAUACAAUGGGUAGGGUACAGCGGGACUGCGAAAGCGCGAGCUGGAGCAAAUCCUCUAAAACCCCCCUCAGUACGGAUCGCAGGCUGAAACCCGCCUGCGUGAAGCUGGAAUUGCUAGUAAUCGUGGAUCAGCCUCGCCACGGUGAAUACGUUCUCGGGUUUUGUACACACCGCCCGU